rnacentral:lncRNA from 1 species
ACGACAGCCAUGUUCACAGACCACUCGGCGUUGUCCUUGAGGGGGAAAUAUACCCUGUCCACAUCCCCGACCGGGGCAAAGUACUCCACCGGCUUGUAGGACACAUUCUUCAGCAGCAAAUCCCUGGUAUCGUUGAUACUACAAAACAAUCAGUAGAAAUGAUGAGAAACAAAUUUAAUGCGAGGGACAAGAAACGAGGUUUGUAGAAGGAAAUUUUAUGUGUGAAUUUUAAACAUUUCUU